AUUGAACGCUGGCGGCAGGCCUAACACAUGCAAGUCGAACGAGCGGCGGACGGGUGAGUAAUGUCUGGGAAACUGCCCGAUGGAGGGGGAUAACUACUGGAAACGGUAGCUAAUACCGCAUACCAUCGGAUGUGCCCAGAUGGGAUUAGCUAGUAGGUGGGGUAAAGGCUCACCUAGGCGACGAUCUCUAGCUGGUCUUAGAGGAUGACCAGCCACACUGGGACUGAGACACGGCCCAGACUCCUACGGGAGGCAGCAGUGGGGAAUAUUGCGCAAUGGGGGCAACCCUGACGCAGCCAUGCCGCGUGUAUGAAGAAGGCCUUCGGGUUGUAAAGUUCUUUCGGUAGCGAGGCGUUACCUACAGAAGAAGCACCGGCUAACUCCGUGCCAGCAGCCGCGGUAAUAC
rnacentral:rRNA from 1 species